rnacentral:rRNA from 1 species
AUGUGUGACCUUCCUACGUUCCUACCAAAUAAACCAUGUGCUGCAACCAUUACAAGCUCAACUGGGUCCUCUCUCGGGAGUGGAAUUCCUCCAGGUGUGGCAAAGCUCUAUCGGAGCACAGAAGCUCCUCCAACACAGCCGUGCGAGAAAGGUGCAAAGUGGCAACGGACGCCACCAUUUCUCCCAGGCCAAGGGCGGUCCACACCUCCGUUGCCCGGUCACAUAGAAACGACAUAUGUCCGCGGUCUUCUGGAUCAGGUUUUGGACAGAGUGCAUCAAGAUGAUUUCCGCUGCUUAUGUUUUGUUGAAGACUAG